rnacentral:rRNA from 1 species
UACGUAGGGGGCGAGCGUUGUCCGGAAUCAUUGGGCGUAAAGAGCUCGUAGGCGGCUUUGCAAGUCGGGUGUGAAAACUCCAGGCUCAACCUGGAGCCGCCACUCGAUACUGCAAUGGCUAGAGUCCGGCAGGGGACCAUGAAAUUCCUGGUGUAGCGGUGAAAUGCGCAGAUUUCAGGAAGAACACCAGUGGCGAAGGCGGUGGUCUGGGCCGGCACUGACGCUGAGGAGCGAAAGCGUGGGGA